UGUACCACCUUGUCGGGUAGCUUAUCAGACUGAUGUUGACUGUUGAAUCUCAUGGCAACAGCAGUCGAUGGGCUGUCUGACAUUUUGGUAUC
ensembl:miRNA